UAUACAUGCAAGUCGAGGGUGAUUAUCGGAUUCGUCUGAUAUGAAACCGGCGCACCGGUGCGUAACACGUAUGCAACCUACCUUUAACUGGGGUAUAGCUCAGAGAAAUCUGAAUUAAUCCCCCAUAACACUACGACAUGGCAUCAUGAUGUAGUUAAAGCUCCGGCGGUUAAGGAUGGGCAUGCGGUACAUUAGCUAGUUGGUGAGGUAAUGGCUCACCAAGGCUACGAUGUAUAGGGGGUCUGAGAGGAUGAUCCCCCACACUGGUACUGAGACACGGACCAGACUCCUACGGGAGGCAGCAGUAGGGAAUAUUGGUCAAUGGACGAAAGUCUGAACCAGCCAUGCCGCGUGAAGGAUGAAGGCCCUCUGGGUCGUAAACUUCUUUUAUUAGGGAAGAAACCUCAGGAUGCGUCCUGAGCUGACGGUACUUAAUGAAUAAGGAUCGGCUAACUUCGUGCCAGCAGCCGCGGUAAGACGAAGGAUCCAAGCGUUGUCCGGAUUUACUGGGUUUAAAGGGUGCGUAGGCGGAAAAUUAAGUCAGUGGUGAAAGCCCGCAGCUCAACUGUGGAACUGCCAUUGAAACUGGUUUUCUUGAAUAUAGCUGAGGCAGAUGGAAUAUAACAUGUAGCGGUGGAAUGCUUAGAUAUGUUAUAGAACACCGAUUGCGAAGGCAGUCUGCUAAACUAUUAUUGACGCUGAGGCACGAAAGCGUGGGGAGCGAACAGGAUUAGAUACCCUGGUAGUCCACGCCCUAAACGUUGAUUACUCGCUGUUGGCGAUAUACUGUCAGUGGCUAAGCGAAAGCAUUAAGUAAUCCACCUGGGAAGUACGACCGCAAGGUUGAAACUCAAAGGAAUUGACGGGGGCCCGCACAAGCGGAGGAGCAUGUGGUUUAAUUCGAUGAUACGCGAGAAACCUUACCU
rnacentral:rRNA from 1 species